AUGUUCUCAUCAUCAGUGCUGCUCCUGCUUACAGCUGCAAUCUGUGGUGUUGAGAGUGUGGAGCUCACCCAGCCGGCCUCUGUGAUUGUGAGGCCUGGAGAACAGUUCUCCAUCUCCUGUAAGACCUCUGAGUCUGGCUAUUGUGUACACUGGAUACGCCAACCUGCCGGGAAAGCUCUGGAAUGGCUCGGGUAUCUGUGUAGUGGUGGUAGCACUAACAUUAAGGACACGGUGAAAAACAAGAUCAGUUUCAGCCAGGACAAAACCAUCAGCACCGUUUAUUUACGAGGACAAAACUUUCAGCCGGAGGACGCAGCUGUGUUUUACUGCGCCAGAGACACAGCAGCACAAACACAGAGGAGUCCUAUCUCACAACUGAACCACAGAACCACCAGACAGUCUGAUUAUGGAGCUCAGAGUCCAGUGAGGAGUGAUGAGAUCCGACUGGACCAGCCUCCUACAGAGGUCAAGAAACCUGGAGAACAUCUGAAGAUCUCCUGUAAAAUUACUGGUUUUAAAAUGACAGGAUCCUGCAGAAACCAGGAAAAGCUCUUGAAUGGAUUGGCAGGAUGA